rnacentral:rRNA from 1 species
UACGAAGGGGGCUAGCGUUGUUCGGAUUUACUGGGCGUGAAGCGCACGUAGGCGGAUCGAUCAGUCAGGGGUGAAAUCCCAGAGCUCAACUCUGGAACUGCCUUUGAUACUGGCAAUCUAGAGUUCGAGAGAGGUGAGUGGAAUUCCGAGUGUAGAGGUGAAAUUCGUAGAUAUUCGGAGGAACACCAGUGGCGAAGGCGGCUCACUGGCUCGAUACUGACGCUGAGGUGCGAAAGCGUGGGGAGCAAACAGG